UGCUGAUAAUGAGGGAAAGUUUGCUCCAUUGAAGAAGGUGAGAAUUUUAUCUUAAUUUCAUGUCAAUAUGGAGUUAAAAGGAACAAUGCUAAAUCAACAAGGGACAUUCCUUAAUCCCCGAUUGAAUACCCCCGCUGAAGAUACGAGAUCUUUUGUCCAUAACAACAAUAACGAAAUACAGCGAUAUAAGGUGGAAAUUUACCGAAACCCGGGUCAGACAAGGAGAAAUGCAAGUAAGAGAAGAGGGACGAAAGGAACGAAAAGAGAAGCAGAGGGAGAAGAGUGUAACAGCCAGCCCAGUCCAGUGCUCAGAAAAGUGAUCUUUGCCAAUCACUGAAUCCUCCGACAAACCAUCUCAAUAUCUUGACUGAGUCAAUGUUGGACAGGAGAACACCCACAAGGAAAGUGGAAACAGCUGUCAGUGCCGACUUCAGCAGAACGUUUGUAGUUUGAAUUAAAGACUGUGCUGCCACUUAUUGGACUAAAGACUGUUGCAAAUUGGACUAAAGACUUUAUUUUGAAUUCCGGCGGCAGAUUAGCAAGAAGACCAUACAUCUUCAACAAAAGAAAGGUAUUUGUCCUCUACAAAUGUCCUAAAAACUUUUGCUUGAAAACACCAACAGUUCAGGGAGCACCUUGGCACU
rnacentral:lncRNA from 1 species